UUGGGCGUAAGGGCUCGUANGUGGUUGAUCGCGUCGGAAGUGUAAUCUUGGGGCUUAACCCUGAGCGUGCUUUCGAUACGGGUUGACUUGAGGAAGGUAGGGGAGAAUGGAAUUCCUGGUGGAGCGGUGGAAUGCGCAGAUAUCAGGAGGAACACCAGUGGCGAAGGCGGUUCUCUGGGCCUUUCCUGACGCUGAGGAGCGAAAGCGUGGGGAGCGAACAGGCUUAAAUACCCUGGUAGUCCACGCUGUAAACGGUGGGUACUAGGUGUGGGGUCCAUUCCACGGGUUCCGCGCCGUAGCUAACGCUUUAAGUACCCCGCCUGGGGAGUACGGCCGCAAGGCUAAAACUCAAAGGAAUUGACGGGGCCCCGCACAAGCGGCGGAGCAUGCGGAUUAAUUCGAUGCAACGCGUAGAACCUUACCUGGGUUUGACAUGGAUCGGGAGUGCUCAGAGAUGGGAGUGCCUCUUUUGGGGUCGGUUCACAGGUGGUGCAUGGCUGUCGUCAGCUCGUGUCGUGAGAUGUUGGGUUAAGUCCCGCAACGAGCGCAACCCUUGUUCACUGUUGCCAGCACGUUAUGGUGGGGACUCAGUGGAGACCGCCGGGGUCAACUCGGAGGAAGGUGGGGAUGACGUCAAGUCAUCAUGCCCCUUAUGUCCAGGGCUUCACGCAUGCUACAAUGGCUGGUACAGANAGUGNNGAGCCUGUGAGGGUGAGCGAAUCUCGGAAAGCNGGUCUCAGUUCGGAUUGGGGUCUGCAACUCGACCUCAUGAAGUCGGAGUCGCUAGUAAUCGCA
rnacentral:rRNA from 1 species